rnacentral:rRNA from 1 species
UACGAAGGGGGCUAGCGUUGCUCGGAAUCACUGGGCGUAAAGGGUGCGUAGGCGGGUCUUUUAAGUCAGGGGUGAAAUCCUGGAGCUCAACUCCAGAACUGCCUUUGAUACUGAGGAUCUUGAGUUCGGGAGAGGUGAGUGGAACUGCGAGUGUAGAGGUGAAAUUCGUAGAUAUUAGGAAGAACACCAGUGGCGAAAGGCGGCUCACUGGAUCGGGUACUGACGCUGAGGUGCGAAAGCGUGGGGAGCGAACAGG